UAAAGAUUAAGCCAUGCAUGUCUAAGAAUGUAUCGACAAAUGAUGAAUCUGCGGACGGCUCAUUACAACAGCUAAAAUCUACUCGUUCUUGUAUCCUAAACGGAUAUCUGCGAUAAUUUUGGAGCUAAUACGUGCACCAAUCAGUGGCUCACGCUGCUGGCAUUUAUUAGAAUAAGACCGAUCGGGGAAACCCGUUUUGGUGAACUCUGAAUAACUUCGCGGAUCGCAUGGUCUUGUACCGGCGACGUAACGAUCGAGUAUCUGCCCUAUCAACUUUCGAUGGAUGUCUAUUUGACUCCCAUUGUUGUGACGGGUAACGGAGGAUAAGGGUUCGACUCCGGAGAGGGAGCCUGAGAAACGGCUACCACAUCCAAGGAAGGCAGCAGGCGCGUAAAUUACCCACUCUCAAUACGAGGAGGUAGUGACUAUCAAUAACGAGGCAGAUCUCUAUGAGGCCUGCUAUUGGAAUGAGCACAAUGUAAAUGCUUAACGAGGAUCU
rnacentral:rRNA from 1 species